CCUACGGGAGGCAGCAGUAAGGAAUCUUCCACAAUGGACGAAAGUCUGAUGGAGCAACGCCGCGUGCAGGAUGAAGGCUUUCGGGUCGUAAACUGCUUUUAUAUGGGAAGAUUAUGACGGUACCAUAUGAAUAAGGACCGGCUAACUACGUGCCAGCAGCCGCGGUAAUACGUAGGGUCCAAGCGAUAUCCGGAAUUACUGGGCGUAAAGCGUGUGUAGGUGGAUUAAUAAGUGUGAUGCGAAAUCCGGCGGCUCAACCGUUUGGACUGUGUCGCAUACUGUUAGUCUAGAGGACGGCAGAGGUAAGUGGAAUUACGGGUGUAGCAGUGAAAUGCGUAGAUAUCCGUAGGAACACCAAUGGCGAAGGCAGCUUACUGGGCCACACCUGACACUGAGACACGAAAGCGUGGGGAGCGAACAGGAUUAGAUACCCUGGUAGUCCACGCCGUAAACGAUGCAUACUAUUAGUAUGGGGUAUCGACCCCCUGUGCUGAGAAGCUAACGCGAUAAGUAUGCCGCCUGGGGAGUACGAGCGCAAGCUUAAAACUCAAAUUGAAUUGAGG
rnacentral:rRNA from 1 species